rnacentral:tRNA from 2 species
GGGCGGCUAGCUCAGUUGGUUAGAGCGCCAUCCUCACACGGUGGAAGUCGAAGGUUCGAGUCCUUUGCCGCCCA